GGGGUCGUAGCUCAGUUGGGAGAGCGCUUGAAUGGCAUUCAAGAGGUCCGGGGUUCGAUUCCCCGCGGCUCCACCA
rnacentral:tRNA from 1 species